CGCCGGGUGGAGCAGGUAGGCAGCUCGCUGGGCUCAUAACCCAGAGGUCGCGGGUUCAAAUCCCGCCUCGGCCACGA
rnacentral:tRNA from 3 species